rnacentral:rRNA from 1 species
GGAUUGCCUUAGUAACUGCGAGUGAAGCGGCAAAAGCUCAAAUUUGAAAUCGGAUGUUUUUGACAUUUGAAUUGUAAUUUGGAGGGAUAUCUUCGGAGCUGGCGCUGUCCUAAGUUCUUUGGAACCAGACAUCAUAGAGGGUGAGAAUCCCGUGCCUGGGUGGCUGUCCAGUUUCAUGUGAAGUGUCUCCGACGAGUCGAGUUGUUUGGGAAUGCAGCUCAAAAUGGGUGGUAAAUUUCAUCUAAAGCUAAAUAUUGGCGAGAGACCGAUAGCGCACAAGUAGAGUGAUCGAAAGAUGAAAAGCACUUUGAAAAGAGAGUUAAACAGUACGUGAAAUUGUUGAAAGGGAAGCGCUUGAGACUAGAUUCGGCCGGCGGUCAUCAGCUACGUUUCUACGUGGUGCACUUGCCGUCGGUUGAGCCAGCAUCGAUUUUGAUGGCGGGAUAAAGGUUUCAGGAAUGUGGCUCCUCAAUUUCGAGGAGUGUUAUAGCCUGGAGCGCAAUGCCGCCUGUCGGGAUCGAGGACCGCGCUUUUGCUAGGAUGCUGGCUAAAAGGUCUUAAGCGGCCCGUCUUGAAACCGGACCAAGGAGUCUAACAUCUAUGCGAGUGUUCGGGUGGAAAACCCUUGCGCGUAAUGAAAGUGAACGGAGGUGGGAACCCCUUUGGGGUGCACCAUCGACCGAUCCUGAUGUUUACGGAAGGAUUUGAGUAGGAGCAUAGCUGUUGGGACCCGAAAGAUGGUGAACUAUGCCUGAAUAGGGUGAAGCCAGAGGAAACCUUGGUGGAAGCUCGCAGCGGUUCUGACGUGCAAAUCGAUCG